GUACAGUGGUACCUUGGGUUACAUACGCUUCAGGUUACAUACGCUUCAGGUUACAUAUGCUUCAGGUUACAUACGCUUCAGGUUACAGACUCCACUAACCCAGAAAUAGUACCUUGGGUUAAGAACUUUGCUUCAGGAUGAGAACAGAAAUCACACUGCCGUGGCGUGGUAGCAGCGGGAGGCCCCAUUAGCUAAAGUGGUGCUUCAGGUUAAGAACAGUUUCAGGUUAAGAAUGGACCUCUGGAACGAAUUAAGUACUUAACCCGAGGUACCACUG